GAAUUACAUAAUACAAAUAGCUUGAAGUUUCCUGGCUCACCCAGUUUUCGAGAGUACUGCGGUUUCAAUCAUCAUCAUCAAUAUUCUCAAGGUUUAAUUGAGGGAGCAAAUGAUGACAAUAGAAGAUUCGUGGAAGAACCUUCUGAUCAUAUGGAAAAGGAGGAGGGUUCAAUAUCAAAAGAUAAAAUAUCAGUGGUGGUGAAAAAAAAGGUGAGUAGAGUAAGAAGAAUACAAUCUGCAAUUUCAAGGACUGUGCUACCCACAAAAUUUCUUUAUAUUACUAAGUACAAUAAAACUCAAACUCAAAUAUAGCAAAAUCCUAACUAAUUAAACUGUAAAUUAAUUAAUUUUUUCAUUAUAGUAGUAUUGAUAAUAACAAUUCUUUGUAUAUA